GAUGAACGCUGGCGGCGCGCCUAACACAUGCAAGUCGAACGGCACCCCUCUCCGGAGGGAAGCGAGUGGCGAACGGCUGAGUAACACGUGGAGAACCUGCCCCCUCCCCCGGGAUAGCCGCCCGAAAGGACGGGUAAUACCGGAUACCCCGGGGUGCCGCAUGGCACCCCGGCUAAAGCCCCGACGGGAGGGGAUGGCUCCGCGGCCCAUCAGGUAGACGGCGGGGUGACGGCCCACCGUGCCGACAACGGGUAGCCGGGUUGAGAGACCGACCGGCCAGAUUGGGACUGAGACACGGCCCAGACUCCUACGGGAGGCAGCAGUGGGGAAUCUUGCGCAAUGGGGGGAACCCUGACGCAGCGACGCCGCGUGCGGGACGGAGGCCUUCGGGUCGUAAACCGCUUUCAGCAGGGAAGAGUCAAGACUGUACCUGCAGAAGAAGCCCCGGCUAACUACGUG
rnacentral:rRNA from 2 species